GGACAGGUAAGGGACAGGUGUGGGACAGGUGUGUUACCUGGGACAGGUGUGAGCUCACCUGGACAGGUGUGGGACAGGUGUGUUACCUGGGACAGGUGUGGGACAGGUGUGAGUUCACCUGGACAGGUGAGACAGGUGUG